UACGUAGGCAGCAAGCGUUGUUCGGAAUUACUGGGCGUAAAGCGAGUGUAGGCGGUUCGAUAAGUUUGGUGUGAAAUCUCCCGGCUCAACUGGGAGGGUGCGCCGAAUACUGAAUGACUAGAGUGCGGGAGAGGAAAGUGGAAUUCCUGGUGUAGCGGUGAAAUGCGUAGAUAUCAGGAGGAACACCGGUGGUGUAGACGGCUUUCUGGACCGUAACUGACGCUGAGACACGAAAGCGUGGGUAGCAAACAGG
rnacentral:rRNA from 1 species